rnacentral:rRNA from 1 species
UACGUAGGGUCCAAGCGUUGUCCGGAUUUACUGGGCGUAAAGAGCGUGUAGGCGGCCAAACAGGUCCGUUGUGAAAACUGGAGGCUCAACUUCCAGACGUCGACGGAAACCGUGUGGCUAGAGUCCGGAAGAGGAGAGUGGAAUUCCUGGUGUAGCGGUGAAAUGCGCAGAUAUCAGGAAGAACACCUAUGGCGAAGGCAGCACUCUGGGACGGUACUGACGCUGAGACGCGAAAGCGUGGGGAGCGAACAGG